rnacentral:ncRNA from 1 species
AAGAAAGUAAAUAAGGGCACACGGGGGAUGCCUAGGCUCUCAGAGGCGAUGAAGGACGUGAUAAGCUGCGAUAAGCUUCGGGGAUUAGCAAAUGUGAGUUUGAUCCGAAGAUUUCCGAAUGGGGCAACCUAGCAUACUGAAGGUAUGUUGUAAAAUACGCGAACGCGCUGAACUGAAACAUCUAAGUAGGCGUAGGAGAAGAAAAUAAUAAUGAUUUCCCAAGUAGUGGCGAGCGAACGGGAAAGAGCCCAAACCAAUAAUGUUACGGCAUUGUUGGGGUUGUAGGGCUGCGAUAUGGCAUUAGCAAACAGAAGUGGAAUGGGAUGGGAAGCCCAGCGAUACACGGUGAUA